CCCUUAGAUGUUCUGGGCUGCACGCGCGCUACACUGAAGCUAUCAACACGUUUUCCCUCCCUGAGAAGGGCGGGUAACCUUUUGAAUCAGCUUCGUGGUAGGGAUCGGGGCUUGCAAUUGUUCCCCGUGAACCAGGAAUUCCUAGUAGACGCGAGUCAUAAGCUCGCAUCGAUUAAGUCCCUGCCCUUUGUACACACCGCCCGUCGCUACUACCGAUUGAACGUUUUAGUGAGGCAUUUGGACAGACGCAUCUCAGUUUAACCGCUGGUUUGUGUUGGAAAGACUUCCAAACUUGAGCGUUUAGAGGAAGUAAAAGUCGUAACA
rnacentral:rRNA from 1 species